rnacentral:lncRNA from 1 species
CCUGUGUUUCGUGAAUUGACAUUGGAUGAAAGAAGCAAAAAUUCCAAUGGAGGUUUUCUGUGGUCUUCAAAGUUGAUCAAGGACAUUGAAAUCAAGUGUGGAAUUUCCUUGUCAUCUUAGAAUACUCUCCAGUCACCCUUUGGCAAGCAAUUCUUCAUGCUGAUACUGAGGUGAAUAUUGGAAGUCAGACCAGAAGUGAUGGACUUGAAGUCCAAGUCUUUAGAGGGAGCUAAAAGAACCAGCUUAAAGCUCUCUGCCAUCAAAACUACACUUUGGUAAAGGAAAUACCUGCUUACUGUUUGUUCCUAAGGACUCAAUUUUCUUAGAAGCUAGAAGCCUGAGCACAAAAAAAUCAAGAUUUUGUCUCAUCCCUGCCUAUUGUCAUUAUAUUUCAUAUGUCUUCAGAAAUAGAAGACUUUUUUUCCCAAGGAAGAGUUUGAGGGCAAGGAAGUCU